rnacentral:rRNA from 1 species
AUACGUAGGGGACGAGCGUUGUCCGGAAUUACUGGGCGUAAAGGGCGCGCAGGCGGAUAUUUAAGUCAGCUGUAAAAGGCAUGAGCUCAACUCAUGUAUGCGGUUGAAACUGGGUAUCUAGAGUGCUGGAGAGGUAGGCGGAAUUCCCGGUGUAGCGGUGAAAUGCGUAGAUAUCGGGAAGAACACCAGUGGCGAAGGCGGCUGACUGGCCAGCAACUGACGCUGAGGCGCGAAAGCCAGGGGAGCGAACGGGAUUGGAUUCCCCGGUAGUCCUGGCAGUAAACGAUGUAUGCUGGGUGUGAGACUAGCGAUAGUUUCGUGCCGAAGUUAACGCGAUAAGCAUACCGCCUGGGGAGUACGAUCGCAAGAUUGAAACUCAAAUGAAUUGACGGGG